UACAGAGGGGGCAAGCGUUGUUCGGAAUUACUGGGCGUAAAGGGCGCGUAGGCGGCCUGUUAAGUCGAACGUGAAAUCCCCGGGCUCAACCCCGGGAACUGCGUCCGAUACUGGCAGGCUUGAAUCCGGGAGAGGGAUGCGGAAUUCCAGGUGUAGCGGUGAAAUGCGUAGAUAUCUGGAGGAACACCGGUGGCGAAGGCGGCAUCCGUGGACCGGCAUUGACGCUGAGGCGCGAAAGCCAGGG
rnacentral:rRNA from 1 species